GGCUGGAUGGUGUAGUUGGUUAUCACGUAUCGCUCACAUCUCUCGAUGUCCCGAUAAGGUCCUGGGAUCGAACCCCAGUCUAGUCA